AGGCUAUGAAGCUGUCACGCUAGUGAUGGUGGAGCCGACGUUGAAAUACCACCUUUAUUACUUAGAUACUAACUGGUCGCAAUGACUAGGACCCUGUUUGGUGGGGUAGUUUGACUGGGGUGGUCGCCUCCUAAAGAGUAACGGAGGCUUCCAAAGGUACCCUCAGCAUGGACGGUAAUCAUGCGAAGAGCGUAUUAGUAUAAGGGUGCUUGACUGCGAGACCGACAAGUCGAGCAGGUAGGAAACUAGGGUAAAAGUGAUCCGGUGGUUCUGUAUGGAAGGGCCAUCGCUCAAAGGAUAAAAGGUACUCCGGAUAACAGGCUGAUCUCCCCCAAGAGCUCAUAUCGACGGGGAGGUUUGGCACCUCGAUGUCGGCUCGUCACAUCCUGGGGCUGGAGAAGGUCCCAAGGGUUGGGCUGUUCGCCCAUUAAAGUGGCACGCGAGCUGGGUUCAGAACGUCGCAAGACGGUUCGGUCCCUAUCUGUUGUGGGCGC
rnacentral:rRNA from 1 species